GUCUUUUUGAGUAUAAUUUAAAGUUUAAUCUGCCCACUGAUAUUAUAUUAAAGGGCUGCAGUAUUAUGACUGUACAAAGGUAGCAUAAUCAUUAGUUUUUUAAUUGAAAACUUGUAUGAAAGAUUUGAUGAAAUAUUAACUGUCUCUAAUUUAUUAUUUGAAAUUUAUUUUUUAGUUAAAAAGCUAAAAUAAUUUUAAAAGACGAGAAGACCCUAUAGAGUUUUAUAUUUAUUUUUAUUUAAAAAUUAUAUAAAAAUUAAUAUUAAAAUAAAAAUAAAUAUUUUAUUGGGGUGAUAGAAAAAUUUAAUUAACUUUUUUUAAAAAUUAAACAUAAAUAAAUGAUUAAAUGAUCCAUUAUUAAUGAUUAUAAGAAAAAAUUACCUUAGGGAUAACAGCGUAAUAUUUUUUUUUAGUUCAAAUAAAAAAAAAAGUUUGCGACCUCGAUGUUGGAUUAAGAUAAAAUUUAAAUGCAAAAGUUUAAAAUUUUGAUCUGUUCGAUCAUUAAAAUCUU
rnacentral:rRNA from 1 species